UGGAUGUGAAAGCCGAAAUAAUGAUUGCUGCCAAUGAACCACAGGAAUUCGUUCCACGUGGAAGGCAGGAAGCAAAUCAACAUCCGCGUCCUAGUGAAGUUCUACAAACGUAAGCUGAAGGUCACGAUAAGUUCUUAAUUGAAGACUUUGAAAAAGUUUCUAUUGUUGCCGAUUAAUGUUCAGAAAAGUGGAUUUUAAGGCUUAGCCCGUAAUAUUUUGAUGAUUACACUGUUAAAACA